rnacentral:tRNA from 1 species
AGUCCCGUAGUGUAGCGGCAAUCAUACUGGGCUUUGACCCCGGCGACUGGAGUUCGAGUCUCCACGGGACUACCA